GGUCCUGGCUAUAUGAGUGUGACCAUCAAUGCACAGGGUUCAACACCAGUUACAGGCUUGCAGAACUGGGCCAAAUAACCACCACCCACAGCAAGAAUAGCAGUUUAAAAAUUCCAGGCACUGGUCUAAGCGUUCUAUACAUAUUAUCUUGUGUGAUUCUCACAACAGCUCCAAAAGGUUAGAAUGAGCCAGACUGAGGGAUCCACAGCGGGAAAGGAGGGUACAGGGACCUUGUCCUGCUCCCUUGAUGUCCUUCCAUGGCCCUGCUGCUGGCUCCCGCUCCCACUACUUUUUCCCCCAAAGGAUCUCCAGAUUCUUUGCUGCAGCAGCAUUUUGUGUCUUCUGAGCCAGACUAACCUGUCAAAUGCAGGAGUGACAAGGAGGACUGUUCAGAUAAUACCUAGCCACUUAAUGGGAUGGACAAGCUAAAGAUCAUGAUUGCAUCCAGAUUCCCUGAAUUCAUCAUGUACACCAUGGAACAUAAACUCUUAUAUUGAAUGGUAAUAAAAGGUAAUAUCC